rnacentral:rRNA from 1 species
AAUGAACGUUGGCGGCGUGGAUUAGGCAUGCAAGUCGAGCGAGAACCGUAGCAAUACGGGGACAGCGGCGAAAGGGAGAGGAAUACGUGGAUACCUACCCUCAGGUUCAGGAUAGCUGUGGGAAACUACAGGUAAUACUGAAUAAUAUCUCCGGAUCAAAGGUGUGAUUCCGCCGGAGGAGGGGUCCACGUCCUAUUAGCUAGUUGGUGAGGGAACGGCUCACCAAGGCGAAGAUGGGUACGGGGUGUGAGAGCAUGCCCCCGCUCACUGGGACUGAGACACUGCCCAGACACCUACGGGUGGCUGCAGUCGAGAAUCUUCGGCAAUGGGCGCAAGCCUGACCGAGCGACGCCGCGUGCGAGAUGAAGGCCUUCGGGUUGUAAAUCGUUGUCAGAGGGGAGGAAAUGCCGGUGGGUUCUCCCAUCGGUUUGACCUAUCCUCAGAGGAAGGACGGGCUAAGUUCGUGCCAGCAGCCGCGGUAAUAC